rnacentral:ncRNA from 1 species
GUAAUAACGUUGAAAGGGAAUAGUAGACAGCGAACCCUUCAGAGAGCGGAGCCGGCAAGAGGCUGGAAGGUUCCGCAGGACGUACCUGUUGAAGUCGCCCCGGAGUUGCCGAAUUGAAAGCGAACCCUAGAUUCGGCCGGUUACAGCCGUUAUCUGUUUGAGUGCCGUAUUUUGACCGGAGAGGACUCCGCGAGAAUUUAUGCCUAAGUACGGAAUAAAGGUGGUACCACGGAAGCGAGAGCCUUUCGUCCUUUGC